GAUGAAGAACGUAGCGAAAUGCGAUAAGUAAUGUGAAUUGCAGAAUUCAGUGAAUCAUCGAAUCUUUGAACGCACAUUGCGCCCCCCGGCAUUCUGGGGAGCAUGCCUGUUCGAGCGUCUCUUGGAAUACCCCUCACGCCGGCGGAGGCGUGGUCAUGGCGGCGGUGGCGUGCCCCGAGAGGGAGGCCACCGCGCUGGAAUCCAUGGGCGGACGCCUGCCGCGUGGCCGAGCGUGAUAAGACGCACUGGCGCUCGCGCGCGGCGAGGCUGCCGGCCCUGGCCCGCUCGUCGGGCGGGGACAGCAACACUUGGGAACUCCUCGAAUCAGGUAGGGAUACCCGCUGAACUUAAGCAUAUCAAUAAGCGGAGGA
rnacentral:misc_RNA from 1 species